UACAGGGGGUGCAAACGUUGCUCGGAAUUAUUGGGCGUAAAGCGCGCGUAGGCGGCCACUUAAGUCGGAUGUGAAAGCCCCUGGCUCAACUGGGGAAGUGCACCCGAAACUGAGCGGCUUGAAUGCAAAAGAGGGUCGCGGAAUUCCCGGUGUAGAGGUGAAAUUCGUAGAUAUGACACAGAACUCCGAUUGCGAAGGCAGCUCACUAAACUGUAACUGACGCUGAGGCACGAAAGCGUGGGGAUCAAACAGG
rnacentral:rRNA from 1 species